rnacentral:lncRNA from 1 species
CUAUAUAUAUGGUUUAUGGUUAUAAUCAAUGUUUUAAAAAUCAAAUUGAACAUCAAACCGAUAAGACUUUUGGGUUAUGAUUAAACUGUAUAAAACCGCUCGAAACAGGAUGAAGCCACAAACGCACCGUUCACAAUGUCAGUUCACGGUUCAACUGAUUGAACCGUAUGCUUUGAAUUCUUAAACAUUGGUUAUAAUUUCUUCUUUAAACGAUUUUUUUAAGUGUUCCCUUAAUGCAUUCAAUUUUUUUUUAAGGAAAAAACUCAUUCAAUAAGAGAAGCCUUCAUGCAAUUGGAGAUACACCUAACCCCUAUGAGAAAGCCAUCUCAAUUGUUGGCAAGACUUUGGCUCCUUUUGAUGAUGACAACUUGAUUCCAUGCUUUGGCUUUGGUGAUGGUAAGUUCUAAUCCUUAAAGUAUAUAGAACAUGUAAAAAAAGAAGAAAUAGUUUUUUUAUUUUAUUCUCAAUUCAAUUUAUGACUCAACUUUGACCAUUCUUUAUACAGCUACAACUCAUGAUCAAGAAGUAUUCAGCUUUCAUAGUGAUCAUUCACCUUGCCAUGGCUUUGAGGAAGUUUUGGCUUGCUACAAAAAAAUUGUUCCGAACUUGAAACUCUCAGGUAUAUCAUCUUCACUUUUGAUUUUAAUGUUAUUCACAUAGAAUUACUGCAAUCAAUCAGUUUAUUAUGUUGCAAUUGUUAGAUGUAGAUUACCUUUAAUUUCGGUUAAUUUUGAAUUGAAAAACAAUGUAUAAUUAUAGUUAGGGAUGGAUCUAUGACGACCAUAGCGAAGUUUCCCCUACCAGGAUUUUGAUAUUUCAGUAUUAACGACUUAUUUAUACCUUUUUAUUAACAACUUGCAAGAAGACAUCAAAGGAUUUUAAUUUUUUUGAAUAUGGACAAAUUUAUAGACAUAAUCUAAAUGUUAUAAACUUUCAAUUCAACUGAUAGUUUCGUAAUGCAUGUAUCCAAUAAAAAGUCAUUAACCGGUAUAAUUUGAUCUCUUAUGAGUAUUACCUCCUAAACUUCAAAUAUGUAGAUGUCUUUUGUUUUAUGAUAAAUGGCUGAAGGAAUAAUUGGAUUUUGUGUGUAGGACCAACUUCUUAUGCUCCUGUGAUUGAAGCUGCCAUAGACAUAGUUGAGAAAAGUCAUGGCCAAUUCCAUGUGUUGGUUAUCAUUGCAGAUGGUCAGGUAUAUAUAAAAUGUUAAUUUUACCUUGAUUAAUGCUUUCAACUGUUUGCAUAUGUUUGUCAAAUCAUAUUCAUAUAUGAAAUUUGUGUUAUUUUAAGGUUACAAGAAGUGUAGAUUAUGAUGAUAAGGAACUCAGUCCCCAAGAAGAGAAAACAAUCAAAGCAAUUGCUGAAGCAAGGUAGAGACAUAGUAUAAUUUUCGUUUAUUUGGGGAUUCAUAUGAAAUUAUACAUUAUUUUCCUAUUCUGUUUUUAAAGUACUUAAAAAUGAUUUCAUCUGAUUAAUAACAUUAAUUUAUAUCUAUAUUUUUAUUUUUUAUUUAUGAUACAGCAAAUAUCCACUUGCUAUAGUCCUGGUUGGAGUUGGCGAUGGACCAUGGGAAGACAUGGAAAAGUUUGAUGACAAAAUUCCAGCACGCGAUUUUGAUAAUUUUCAGGUAUUACAUAGCAAUCUUACAUUAAAAUUGGGUAUCAUAAAGUCAUAACAUAUUUCAAUUCGUAUCUGGUAUUCCAUACUUUUAUAUAUGCAACUGAUAUUUUCAGCUAAAUGUUAGUUAUCGGAUAAUCUAACAGCUGAAUUCUCCAGUCUUUAGAUUAGUCUACCGACUGAUAUUUGACUAGAAGAACUGCAACAUUCUUUUUCAUCACGUGAUCGCAUAUAUUUUCAUUAUGUGCAGUUUGUUAAUUUCACGAGGAUCAUGUCUAAAACCACAAACCCCGACGAGAAAGAAGCAGCUUUUGCUCUGGCUGCUCUCAUGGAGAUUCCCUUCCAAUACAAAGCAUGUGUCGAAUUUCGUAAACUUGGGUACAACGCUUAAACCUUAACCUAUAUUUUGCUACCUAUUCUAUAAAAAAUAUAUUCUUUUAACGAUGUGUGCCAGAAUUUCACACAUCUUUUUUCGUCAUAUUUUUCUAUAUGUCUGCAAACUUGCACGAUAUCUUUACUAGAACUACAUGAAAAGUGAAUGGACCUAUAAUAUUAGUACUAUACAUUUGAUUCAUUAUGUUGACAACUUUCUUUGAAACAAUUCAAUUUUUUUCGUCUCAACUGACACUAAUUAAAAUGAUUAAUUUUUUCUUGUUCUUUUUGUGUUUAUGAAUAACAGACGUGUGACAGGAACAGCAAAGAGAAUAAUUCCGAAACCUUCACCUGUUCCUUAUUCUCGGCCUGCACCAAGCAAUUCGCCAGCAGCAACCACAGACGAGCAAAAUCAAUCUGUUAGUAUUAAAUUAAAGCUUAAGCCACACUACAUUAUCUUCACUAAUUAUAAUUUUAGUAUGUUAAACCGGAGAAUCCACUUCCUUUGGAGUGAACAAUUUAGUUUAGAGUGAUAUAUUUACUGAUAUUGAAAGAAAAAAAAUCAGUGGUUGAUAUCGUAGUCCAACAACAGAAUAAAAAAAGUGAAUCAAAUUUUUACCGAGACUAAAAUUAAACAUUCUUGAUUAGAACCAAUUCAGAAUUCACCAACAUAUUAAUCUCAUUUUAUAUAUAAUUGUGUAACCAUUGGAAUUAUGUAGGCCUGUCCUAUUUGUCUGACCAAUGCAAGGGAUUUGGCGUUUGGAUGUGGGCACAUGGUGAGUUUAUAACCACUUUGAAUUUAGAGUAAAUAAUCAAACUAGUUCUAAAAGAUAGUUAUUUGAAUUUGAAAUUACAACAUUCAAAUCAAGUCUUUGACUGUUUAGUUGAUCAAUCAAAUUAAACCUCAAGAAAGAAAUUUCAGGGUUUAAUUUGAUCGAUGAAAUACACAUGUUGCGACAAUUUGAUGGUAAAAAAUCAUUGAGGGGUAUUUUGAAAGUAUUAUAUCUUUUAGAUAGUUAUUUGAUUAUUUACUUUUAAAAUUGUCUUAAUUAUUUCUCUAAUUGUUUUUAGAUUUAAUUAAGUUUUUAACAAUAUUUUGGAAUGCAGACUUGCAGAGAUUGUGGAUCAAGGUUAAGUAAUUGUCCUAUAUGUAGAGUGAGGAUUACUAGUCGUCUUAGAGUAUAUAAUGGAUGAUUUUACAAUGCAUAUGAUGUACAAAAAAUAGUUUGCAUAACAUAUACAGUAUAUACUCUUUUCUACGGUAAGAUAUAUAUACUUAAAUGUAGGGUUGAUGGUAUUGUUUCAUGAGUGUGUUGAAAAGUUUAGAUGUGCUUAUGUAAGUUUGAACUCCCUCCCUUUCUAGUUGAUUGUCUCUUUAAAAGUAACGAAAAAUUCAAUUUCAUUUGCAUUUUCUAUGUUCAUGGCACAAUUAGCCUAUUCUUUAAAAGUAAUAUUUGUUUGAAUUGUAGUUUAAAUUUUGACUAGUAAGAUCCACCAUUGUACCGGGAGUCCGGGAUCCAUAUUGGAUGAUCCUAAGUAAUUAUUUAUUUUUCUAUUUUUUUUUUGUCAAAUAGCAUAGUGACUAGAAAUUUCACCCUUAAUGUAGAUAAGUCGGAUGAUAGGGGUUCGAACCCCGACCCACUACAUAUAUAUAAUGUAAUGUCCUGCCAAUUGAGCUAAGUUCGUGGAACAUUGUUCUUUUUAAUUCACAUUAAAAAUACUAAUUUACAAUUAAUGUGAAACGAAGGAAAUAUACAGUUUGUUUCUAAAUCAUGAUGUUUGAGAGCAUAUUGUUGCAAUUGAAAAAUACAGUAGUAGUUAGCAUGCCUUGCGUUUGUACGAGUCAAUAAUUAUACAUCAAUUAUAUUAGAUCACUUUUGGCUGAUAAAUAAAGUAAUUCAUACGCGUAGAAACGAAAAAUAUUUAGGCAUUAUAUUAUUGACAUUGUCUAAUGUAUUUCCACCAACUUAUAUAAACAUGAAAGUACAAACAAUUAUAUGAAUUUCGCGUAAUAACACAUAUACCUCCAUUUAAAAAAUCUCUUUUAUUUUAAAUUAUAAUAAAUAAUAAAGGGCAAAAAUAAAUUUUAGUUAAACAAAAUAAGGGCGUAAAUGAUUAAUAAAAAAAGGGCUUAAAUGGAAUUAAAAGUGAUAAGGUAUAAAUUAUAAGCUCUAACACUAUAAAAUAGCGUCUAAAAAAGAAGCUAUAAACUAGUGAAAUAUGUUAGAACAAAACAUAUAUAAAUUAAUAUCUCGUUCAUUGUGGUUUGAUAAUAAUAUAGCAAAGGGACAAUUUAUAUACUAAAUACGUGUUCAAGUGUUUAGGUGUAAGCAGGGGCGGCCCAGACCCAUGUGCAACAUGGGCCGUUGCACAAGGUCUCUUAAAAUUGAGGGCCACAAAAAAAAUUAUAGGGUAGUAGUAUUAGUAAGUUAGAGGGUGUAAAAAUUAAUUAUUUAUGUUAAAACAUGUUGUAAGGCCCAACCUGUGUCUCUAAGAAAAAAAAGCAGCAAAGAAGAGAAGCAUGUAAUGUAAGAUCAAAAUCAAAACAUCAAAACAAGAAACCAACUCCUCCUUCUAUUCUCAAAAACUCCAUUAAUUCACCACCACCACCAGCGUCGACUUGCCACCAUCACCGGCGACGUUAAGCUACUCCUUCUUGGCUUCUUCUAUUCUCAAAAACUCCAUUAAAGUUGAAACAAAGGUAAAAACUAAAUUUUACAAGUUAGGGUUUCUAAAAUUUGAAAUUAAAAAUCACAAUUUUACUAUUUUAAUUGUGUUUCCCAAUUCAACUCACAUAGUUUCCGAAUUCCCAUCAUUCUUUUUCUCCCAAAGUCAAUUACAUUUUUUUUAUUUAUUAAAAGGCCACUUUCAUAUUUCGCACAGAGCUUCCAAAAACUCGAAGACGCCACUGGGUGUAAGAAACAUUACAACAAAAUGAAAAGGAUUAAUGUAUCCUCUAUGUGUUCCCAUGAUCCUCUAUAGAACAAGGUUAAGACAACACAUGUUCUCAUCCUCUAGACACCACAUAUGAUCACAAAAAAGUCAAAGAGAGCGAUUGUCCAUCACCUGGACAACAACAUAAGACUUCGAGCGAAGAAAGUGAUAGUCUAAAAUUGUCAUCUUAUAGACAUCACAUAUGAUAAGGAAAGUCAACAUUAUAUUAUAUCAUCUAAACAUUUGUCGAAGACUUCAUCUUCUGAGCAACAUAGAUAAUCAAGUAAAGUCAAGAUCAACACUUCAAUCCAUCAAAAUGGACAUAUGUCAAAGACCUUAUUCUCUAGAUUCAUAUAUCUAUUUGGUAAAUAGCGGUCAUCUAUGCAAUAAUUACGUGUCUUAGUGAUUUAGUCACACACAAAAGAUAAAUGAAUUAUAUCUUUGUGGUAGAAAAGAUAAAUAACAUCUAAUGCAAUUUUGCCUUCAGGAAACAAAGAAAAAGUAAAUUAUGUAUAAAAUAUAAUUUAUAUUUUUAAAAUAUUAAUUAUACAAACUGUCAAAAAUAAUAAUAUUAUUAACUCUACAAAUUUUAAAAUAAUUUUAUUAUGUUUAAUUUCUUAACUAGUGAUCCGGUAUUUUACUUCUUUUAUUCUUAUCUCUAUAUUUAAGGUAAAAAAUGUUCUAGUCUUUAAAAAAUUACGAACUUUUAAUUUUAUUCUCUUAAAAAGAAAAUAUUCAUUUUUAGUCCUACUUACAAUUUAAAGCGACUAUUUUGAGUGACUAAAAAUAUAUAUAUUUUUUAAAAAAUAGAAAUUACUCUUAUAAACUGUAAUAUCAUAGAAGACUAAAAUUAUUAUUAAAAUUUAAUAAGAUUUUUUUUAUCAUAAAUAGUAUAUAUAUAUAUAUUACAGUAGAAUUCAAAAUAAUUGCUAAAUGAAUGAAAGAUAAACGAUCAACAAGUUGCUUCACUAAAUUAUUUAUUUAUUUAUUUUUAUUGUAAGCCAAUCCUUUUUAAAUAGCAAUAAGAAUUAAUGUUUUUUUUGAGAUAAAAUAAGAAUUAAACUUAAAAUAAUGUAAUUUUGCAGAGAUUAAAAAUAUAUUUAAUGCAAGCACACCAUUUUACCAAAUUUUCUCUUUCACACUUUACUCUUCUUGUGCUUUUUCAACGUUCCAAUUCCAACAGAGCUUCAACGAACGCGAGUACCAAUUCGCGGUUCGCCGGCAGACAGUUGAACGAAUUACUAUAUAAAUAUGGGACACAGUUCAAACAGCAAGAAGAAAUCUCCCAACAGCGACAAGUAUGCUUUGAUUCAAGAUAACUUCACUUCCCUCGAACAGGUACGCGGUUCUCAUCUAAUUACUUUUUUCUAAUCGCAAAUAUCACUAAUUAAUUAUCAGCUACUUUUUUUUCUUCUUUUCUUUCUUUCUUUCUUGUAGAACAUUAUCAGUAGGUACUGUUAGAGAGAAGAGUUAGACUCUGUUUGGUAAAAAAUAAGCUAUAAGCCAGCUGAUAGCUGAAAAGCAAACUAGCAGAAUAAAAUUAAAGUGUUCGGCAAAUUUAUCGUACAAAAUGACAUGAAAGUAGUUAGUGGGUAGUUUUUAGUUUUUUUUUGGUAAGUGUAUAACUUUGUUACCAAACACUUCCAUUUUUAUCAAAGAAGCUUAUAAGGUAGUCCAAUAAGCUAGCUUCUAGCUUAUUGGACUUACCAAACACACGCUAAUGUUUCAUUGUAAACCCAUUCCAUCCCAUAUAGUUUUGAGUGGAAUGGAAUACAAAAAAUGAAUGGAGUGGAAUACAAUUGGAUUGGUGGUAAGGUCAUGUUCCUCCAAGGCUCCAACUGAGUUAAAUUUAUUUUUUAAAAAUUAAAUAAAAUUGGUUCAGAAUUUAUAAGAGUGAGAUUCUUUUAUAUAAGAAUGAGCAACAUAAAAAUCAAAUCACGAGUCUUACAAUUUUAUUUUGUACAAUUUUUUUUUGUUAACUCAUGAUAAAAAUAAAUAAAUAUUUACCUUUUUUAGAAAAAAAAAUUAAGAAUGUGCUACACAAUUGCACUAUCCAAUAACCAAGUGCAACAUUUUAUUUUAUGUCCAGAAAUAAUACAUCCCAGUUGUUUCACUAAUUACACCAUCUAGUUAUAAUAAAUUGGCUAGAUUUUCCUGUCAAAAAAAAAAAGUUGGCUAGAUUAUAAUAUGAGUCCUGUCCUCCAAUUUAUUUCAAAAUUUAUCGCAAUGAGGCCGAUUCUUCAAAUCACAUGUAGAUGAAAUUUGCAGUGGAUUUCAUUUAAUCUUCAUUGUCCUAUUUUUAUAGGUUAUUGCUGCCCUGGGGAAAUAUGGUUUAGAAUCAUCAAAUCUCAUCCUUGGAAUUGAUUUCACAAAGAGUAAUGAAUGGACAGGUAUUUAGUUAUACUUGUAGUACACGAUCAACAUUUAACCAAGUGAUUACAUCAUUAAUAUGUUGUUGAGAACCAUGAUUAAGAGCUAACGUUUUCUAUAUAUGGUUUAUGAUUUGAGAGUUUUGGUUAUAAUCAAUGUUUUAAAAAUCAAAUUGAACAUCAAACUGACAAGACUUUUGGGUUAUGAUUUAACUGUUUAAAACCGCUCGAAUUAGAAUGAAGCCGCAAACGAAUCGCUCAAAUUAAUUACAACUGAACCAUAAACAAUGUCAGCUCAUUGUUCAACCGUUGAACCAUAUGGUUUGAAUUUUAAAACAUUGGUUAUAAUUUCUUCUUGAAAUGAUUUUUAUUCUAAGUGUUCGUUCCCUUAUGAAGCCAAUGCACGUGUUUUUUUUAAGGCAAAUACUCAUUCAAUAAGAAAAACCUUCAUGCAAUUGGAGAUACACCUAACCCCUAUGAGAAGGCCAUCUCAAUUGUUGGCAAGACUUUGGCUCCCUUUGGUCAUGAUAACUUGAUUCCAUGCUUUGGCUUUGGUGAUU